rnacentral:rRNA from 1 species
UGGGGAAUAUUGCACAAUGGGCGCAAGCCUGAUGCAGCCAUGCCGCGUGUAUGAAGAAGGCCUUCGGGUUGUAAAGUACUUUCAGCGAGGAGGAAGGCGUUGUGGUUAAUAACCGCAACGAUUGACGUUACUCGCAGAAGAAGCACCGGCUAACUCCGUGCCAGCAGCCGCGGUAAUACGGAGGGUGCAAGCGUUAAUCGGAAUUACUGGGCGUAAAGCGCACGCAGGCGGUCUGUCAAGUCGGAUGUGAAAUCCCCGGGCUCAACCUGGGAACUGCAUCCGAAACUGGCAGGCUAGAGUCUUGUAGAGGGGGGUAGAAUUCCAGGUGUAGCGGUGAAAUGCGUAGAGAUCUGGAGGAAUACCGGUGGCUAAGGCGGCCCCCUGGACAAAGACUGACGCUCAGGUGCGAAAGCGUGGGGAGCAAACA